rnacentral:rRNA from 1 species
AGUGGCGCACGGGUGAGUAACACGUGAGCAACCUGCCGGGAAGCCCGGGAUAGCCCUCCGAAAGGAGGAUUAAUACCGGAUGUGGCCACCCUGCGAUUGCAGGGGAAGCUAAAGGAUUUAUUCACUUCCCGAGGGGCUCGCGGCCCAUCAGCUUGUUGGUGAGGGUAACGGCCCACCAAGGCGACAACGGGUAGCUGGUCUGAGAGGAUGGUCAGCCACACUGGAACUGAGACACGGUCCAGACACCUACGGGUGGCAGCAGUCGAGAAUCAUUCGCAAUGGGGGAAACCCUGACGAUGCGACGCCGCGUGGAGGAUGAAGGCCUUAGGGUUGUAAACUCCUGUCAAGAGGGAAUAAGCAAGUGAAGGUACCUCUAGAGGAAGGGGCGGCUAAUUCCGUGCCAGCAGCCGCGGUAACACGGAAGCCCCGAGCGUUGUUCGGAUUCAUUGGGCGUAAAGGGUGCGUAGGCGGCGCGGAAAGUCCGGCGUGAAAGGCAGGGGCUCAACCUCUGGACUGCGUUGGAUACUUCCGUGCUUGAGGACUGGAGGGGAGACUGGAAUUCACGGUGUAGCAGUGAAAUGCGUAGAUAUCGUGAGGAAGACCGGUGGCGAAGGCGAGUCUCUGGACAGAUCCUGACGCUGAGGCACGAAGGCUGGGGGAGCGAACAGGAUUAGAUACCCUGGUAGUCCCAGCAGUAAACGAUGUGAGCUUGAUGUGGGGGGAUUCGACCCCUUCCGUGUCGAAGCUAACGCGAUAAGCUCACCGCCUGAGGAGUACGGCCGCAAGGCUAAAACUCAAAGAAAUUGACGGGGACCCGCACAAGCGGUGGAGUAUGUGGCUUAAUUCGAUGCAACGCGAAGAACCUUACCUGGCCUUGACAUGCAUUGUGUCGUCGGUGAAAGCCGGCUAGUCCUGGAAACAGGACGCUUUGCACAGGUGCUGCAUGGCUGUCGUCAGCUCGUGUCGUGAGAUGUUGGGUUAAGUCCCGCAACGAGCGCAACCCUUGUGGUCAGUUACUAACCGGCUUAGCCGGAGGACUCUGGCCAGACUGCCCUGUCAAACGGGGAGGAAGGUGGGGAGGACGUCAAGUCAGUAUGGCCCUUAUGGCCAGGGCUGCACACGUACUACAAUGCCCGGUACAAUGUGAACCGAAACCGCGAGGUGGAGGAAAUCGCU